UGGAGUGAAUUAUCAACGAUUAGAUAUUGUAACGAUUUCACCAGUGAUCAAAUAAAAUUACACCAGCAUUUCAAAAACUUGUCAGAGUACAGCAUUAUACUGUAUUCUUGUCAUUAUGUUUGUCUGGUACAGGAAUGCUUUUCGAUACUGUAUUUGUGCAUUCUGCUAAAGUAGUUUUGCACAUGUUCAGAUGAAGUCACAAUAAUGGCAGAAGCUUCCUUUCCCAAAACAUUUAGAAUUAAACCAAGCACAACAUAUGUCUCUUAAGUAACUACAGCCAAUAAAAUAUGGUAUAACGCAUAGAAUUGUUGAUUUAACAUUAACUCAUGUAAGGUUCUUUAAUUAAUUGUUUUGUUUGACAGGCAUUAUCAUCAGAAGUGGAAUAGGCUGCAAGGGCUCUUAUUGAUGUGUUAGCCAGGGGCCUGGCUCCAUCUGCAGCUAGUAGCAUUGGUACAUCAAGGAGUGUUAAUACACCAACAAGAGAAAAUGUGCGAAUGAGUGCGACAUGUGCCAUUACUCCUUUGAUCUGAUUUUCACCAGAAAAUAGGGUGAGGCAGGCAUUAAAAAGGUAAUUUUAUGUAUUUUCAUUUAAACAUUUAUCAUUACUGAAAUAUUUUAAAAGAUGGUAAUGACACAUUAAAACAUAUAAGAGAAAUAACUUUUCUUCAAGAAAUUGUCUCUUUGUCACUCUGGCCGUAGGCAGUUCCCAAGUAUGUUUAGGACUGAAAAUGACCAGCCUAAGGGAAAAAAACGUUUCUCUUUGGCCAAACCGGUCAAUGUGAAAAAGACAGAUUUUCAAAUAUAUGUGCUCUCCGAACCAACCAUGUUUACUCCAAAAGGAGAUGAAGACUUAGAACUUUUACGUGCUGGGCUUGGGAAAAGGCUUUUAAGUGUUCCAGACACCUUUAAAAACAGUGAGAUUGUCACUCUGCUUGAGGAAGAAUUUCCGAAAUUAAAAAAUCUUCAGGGAGGCUGGAUGUUUAACAAAUCUACAGGUAUUUAUAAUUUGCAUGUUAAAUAUACAUAA
ensembl:lncRNA